rnacentral:rRNA from 1 species
CGGGACACGUGGUAUCCUGUCUGAAUAUGGGGGGACCAUCCUCCAAGGCUAAAUACUCCUGACUGACCGAUAGUGAACCAGUACCGUGAGGGAAAGGCGAAAAGAACCCCGGCGAGGGGAGUGAAAAAGAACCUGAAACCGUGUACGUACAAGCAGUGGGAGCACGCUUAGGCGUGUGACUGCGUACCUUUUGUAUAAUGGGUCAGCGACUUAUAUUCUGUAGCAAGGUUAACCGAAUAGGGGAGCCGAAGGGAAACCGAGUCUUAACUGGGCGUUAAGUUGCAGGGUAUAGACCCGAAACCCGGUGAUCUAGCCAUGGGCAGGUUGAAGGUUGGGUAACACUAACUGGAGGACCGAACCGACUAAUGUUGAAAAAUUAGCGGAUGACUUGUGGCUGGGGGUGAAAGGCCAAUCAAACCGGGAGAUAGCUGGUUCUCCCCGAAAGCUAUUUAGGUAGCGCCUCGUGAAUUCAUCUCCGGGGGUAGAGCACUGUUUCGGCAAGGGGGUCAUCCCGACUUACCAACCCGAUGCAAACUGCGAAUACCGGAGAAUGUUAUCACGGGAGACACACGGCGGGUGCUAACGUCCGUCGUGAAGAGGGAAACAACCCAGACCGCCAGCUAAGGUCCCAAAGUCAUGGUUAAGUGGGAAACGAUGUGGGAAGGCCCAGACAGCCAGGAUGUUGGCUUAGAAGCAGCCAUCAUUUAAAGAAAGCGUAAUAGCUCACUGGUCGAGUCGGCCUGCGCGGAAGAUGUAACGGGGCUAAACCAUGCACCGAAGCUGCGGCAGCGACGCUGAUGCGUUGUUGGGUAGGGGAGCGUUCUGUAAGCCUGUGAAGGUGUGCUGUGAGGCAUGCUGGAGGUAUCAGAAGUGCGAAUGCUGACAUAAGUAACGAUAAAGCGGGUGAAAAGCCCGCUCGCCGGAAGACCAAGGGUUCCUGUCCAACGUUAAUCGGGGCAGGGUGAGUCGACCCCUAAGGCGAGGCCGAAAGGCGUAGUCGAUGGGAAACAGGUUAAUAUUCCUGUACUUGGUGUUACUGCGAAGGGGGGACGGAGAAGGCUAUGUUGGCCGGGCGACGGUUGUCCCGGUUUAAGCGUGUAGGCUGGUUUUCCAGGCAAAUCCGGAAAAUCAAGGCUGAGGCGUGAUGACGAGGCACUACGGUGCUGAAGCAACAAAUGCCCUGCUUCCAGGAAAAGCCUCUAAGCAUCAGGUAACAUCAAAUCGUACCCCAAACCGACACAGGUGGUCAGGUAGAGAAUACCAAGGCGCUUGAGAGAACUCGGGUGAAGGAACUAGGCAAAAUGGUGCCGUAACUUCGGGAGAAGGCACGCUGAUAUGUAGGUGAAGCGACUUGCUCGUGGAGCUGAAAUCAGUCGAAGAUACCAGCUGGCUGCAACUGUUUAUUAAAAACACAGCACUGUGCAAACACGAAAGUGGACGUAUACGGUGUGACGCCUGCCCGGUGCCGGAAGGUUAAUUGAUGGGGUCAGCGCAAGCGAAGCUCUUGAUCGAAGCCCCGGUAAACGGCGGCCGUAACUAUAACGGUCCUAAGGUAGCGAAAUUCCUUGUCGGGUAAGUUCCGACCUGCACGAAUGGCGUAAUGAUGGCCAGGCUGUCUCCACCCGAGACUCAGUGAAAUUGAACUCGCUGUGAAGAUGCAGUGUACCCGCGGCAAGACGGAAAGACCCCGUGAACCUUUACUAUAGCUUGACACUGAACAUUGAGCCUUGAUGUGUAGGAUAGGUGGGAGGCUUUGAAGUGUGGACGCCAGUCUGCAUGGAGCCGGCCUUGAAAUACCACCCUUUAAUGUUUGAUGUUCUAACGUUGACCCGUGAUCCGGGUUGCGGACAGUGUCUGGUGGGUAGUUUGACUGGGGCGGUCUCCUCCUAAAGAGUAACGGAGGAGCACGAAGGUUGGCUAAUCCUGGUCGGACAUCAGGAGGUUAGUGCAAUGGCAUAAGCCAGCUUGACUGCGAGCGUGACGGCGCGAGCAGGUGCGAAAGCAGGUCAUAGUGAUCCGGUGGUUCUGAAUGGAAGGGCCAUCGCUCAACGGAUAAAAGGUACUCCGGGGAUAA